GAUGAAGAACGCAGUGAAAUGCGAUAAGUAAUGUGAAUUGCAGAAUUCAGUGAAUCAUCGAAUCUUUGAACGCACAUUGCGCCCCUUGGUAUUCCGGGGGGCAUGCCUGUUCGAGCGUCAUUAUAACCCUCAAGCUCAGCUUGGUGUUGGGGCCUGCUGCACUGGCAGCCCUUAAAAUCAGUGGCGGCGCCAUCUGGCUCUAAGCGUAGUAAUUCUUCUCGCUAUGGAGUCCUGGUGGAUGCUUGCCAUCAACCCCCAAUUUUUCUAUGGUUGACCUCGGAUCAGGUAGGGAUACCCGCUGAACUUAAGCAUAUCAAUAAGCGGAGGA
rnacentral:misc_RNA from 1 species